rnacentral:RNase_P_RNA from 1 species
CCAGCAGGCCACCUUACCGCCGUGUGCCGAACUAGUUUCGGCAUCCAUUAUGGAUCCUGAAUCAAGUUCAGUACAGGGAGGAAAGUCCGGACACCAUAGUGCGGCAUAGCGGGUAACGCCCGUCCGCCGAAAGGCGAGGACAAGUGCAACAGAAAGCAAGUACAGUUCGGCUGUAGUGAAAUCAGGUAAACUCUAUGCGGUGAAACGCCAUGUAAACCAAUGCUUGAGGGUUGCACGCCCAAGUUGGAGGGUAGGCGGUUAGAGCUUUUGGGCAACCAAAAGUCUAGAUAAAUGGUAAGGCUCGACAGAAUCCGGCUUAUGGCCUGCUUUUUUA